UGGGGAAUAUUGGGCAAUGGGGGGAACCCUGACCCAGCAACGCCGCGUGAAGGAAGAAGGCUUUCGGGUUGUAAACUUCUUUGAUCGGGGACGAAAAUGACGGUACCCGAGGAACAAGCCACGGCUAACUAGGUGCCAGCAGCCGCGGUAAUACGCAGGUGGCGAGCGUUGUCCGGAAUUACUGGGUGUAAAGGGCGUGUAGGCGGGACGGCAAGUCAGAUGUGAAAUACCUCGGCCUAACUGGGGUGCUGCAUCUGAAACUGUCGUUCUUGAGUGUCGGAGAGGAAAGUGGAAUUCCCAGUGUAGCGGAGAAAUGCGUAGAGAUUGGGAGGAACACCAGUGGCGAAGGCGGCUUUCUGGACGAUAACUGACGCUGAGGCGCGAAAGCGUGGGUAGCAAACAGG
rnacentral:rRNA from 2 species